UCCAGUCUAGACCCAAGCAUACCUAUACCACCAGACGUGUCCUCAGCCUCCCUCCCUGGUACCCCGAAAACUCCUGCAGCCAAGCCCGGCAGAAAAUCCCUGAGCUCGACACCAGCAGUGACGACGGAUGUCAAAUCUGAAGAGUCUGAUGAGGAUGUAGGAGAUUUAGUUAUCGAUGAAUCUGCAGGGAAAGGUGCAAAACCUGGAAGAAAAAGAAAAAGGCAGGUUUCCGACAUAGCCUCAGAGACACCAGCCAAGAAAGCUGCAUCUUCUGAUGUUAA